UCAUUUUGUUCGUAAAUCCAUAUAGCACACACAGGAAUGUAUUUCUUCAAUGGACUACACUUACCAUCAACACUGAUUGGACAUCCACGUAAAAGUGGU